rnacentral:rRNA from 1 species
UACGUAGGGUGCAAGCGUUAAUCGGAAUACUGGGCGUAAAGCGUGCGCAGGCGGUUAUGCAAGACAGAUGUGAAAUCCCCGGGCUCAACCUGGGAACUGCAUUUGUGACUGCAUAGCUAGAGUACGGUAGAGGGGGAUGGAAUUCCGCGUGUAGCAGUGAAAUGCGUAGAUAUGCGGAGGAACACCGAUGGCGAAGGCAAUCCCCUGGACCUGUACUGACGCUCAUGCACGAAAGCGUGGGGAGCAAACAGGAUU